CCCGAAAUUACAAGCAGAUAAAAAUCAUCAUCUCUUUUUUUUUUAUCGAGGAUAUCUCUGAGCUGAAAAUGUCUUCACGAAAAAUACAAAUAAGCUAUAAAAUUUGUAAUGAAGUGCAUUGAAUAACAGACAUCUAAUACAUACUUGAUGAUUACACUGAAGUAUUAAUAAAUAACAAAUUAAAUAUACUCAUUAAUUCAUCUAUUAAUCUUUUAAUCUAUGCUUUAUUGUAUCAUCACCAGCAACCUGUAUUUAAAAUAAGCAUACAGCAAGUGUAUAUUCAGAUAUGUACAUUUAUUUACAUAAUACCAAAACCAGUUCACAUAUUCACGUGAACAUACGCGAUUUUUCCAGUAAUUGUUGACUACAUCAAUCGGGUCAUUAAAGAGAUUGUAAAGUCAAAAUAAAACUUCUUAGAAUAUCGUAAAGAGUAGGAUCAGUUUGAAUCUCGCUUUUUUUAUGUCUGUUCAUGUGGAAAAAGUUGAAGAUUUUUAGUAGAAUGUUGUGUUUAAUAAGAGAAAUUUCAUGGGACUCUGUCGCUUGCUUCGACGAAGUCUCGUUCUCCAUCACGUGACCCUAUGAUGUUUGGUGUAGAGUGUUUACCACUUUCGGAAAGACAGAGCCUUACAAAAUGAAUGGAUCAUACCAAUAAAAAGACUCGAUCCCCAAACGAAAAAGCUUUGGGAGCCCAAAGAGUGAGACAAUCUAUGUUGAAGCCGGACCCGAAUGUCCAAACAGUUAGGUUUGGCCUUUAAGGCACAGCUUCUGCCAGAUACAUUUCUGACAAUUUUUCAACACAAUGAAAUUGCUUGAAAAAGAAAGAAAGAUUUAUCUGACAGACGAGUUUCACUUGCCAAACGACUACAGCAUAAACAGGUCAGUGCCAGUGCUACUGUUAUUGUGUUUACAAAAUCCAUUAUUCAUUAUUGUCAGAUAACAUUACAAUAUACAUAUAGAAAAGAUUGUAUAUACAUAACAAUAAAAGUGUUAUGUUGUACUUAUAAUAAACGAGUUUAAACAGGUAAACAUUUAUAGCACAUGUAUAAUAUGUGAAGAUGUCAGCAUCAAACUGCAAGUGUAAAAGAAAUGAUUUUUGAUAUCCUGGCAGUUGUUACAUUAUUGUUUUAAAAGUACUGUUUGCUUUUCAUAAAAUGAAAUUUUUUUAAUUAAUAUUUUUGUAAAUACAGCCUCUUUGUUUAAGAAAUCUAAAAACAAUAAAAUAUAUGUGAAAGGUAUUUUCUACAUAAUGAGUUUAUCAACAAUUGUAGGAAAAUAUGUGUGCAGUACACUGCUGAAGUUAGAAUUCAUAUUUCGACAUUUGAAAAUUAGAGUAAUAUUAAUAAUGAUUGUGUUUUAUGGUGGAUGCAGUCAAGAAUUUAAAAUAAUAAUUCUUCCUACAGACAAACAACAUGAUACUGACACCGGAAAAUAAUGGAGAGCCAAGUGCAGUAAAGGUCAGUCAGCAGGAUGAAAAAAAGCAGCUCAUGAGAAAACUCUUGCUUUCAGGUACGGCAAAAUGUUUCCUACCUUAUUAUGCCAAACUGCCCAAUUUUGUCUCACAAAAUAAACUUUCAACAAAGAGCGUCUACUCUUUUUGCCUGUAAUGGUACUUUCAUCCUACUGAAAUUGAUAAAAAUAUGUUACAAAAGAUUAUGAUUUAUGUGUGAAAUUAAUUUUUGAGAAGUUAUUCUUUUUAAGGUCAUCCUCAAGCAACUGGUCACUUGGAAGAGGAUUUACCUUGAAGAACCUGUAAUAACAAAAUACAUUGAUAGUCAAGUAAAGCCACCUGAAGCACCUGGUCAUUCAGAAGAGGAUUAACAAAACACAGAUGAAGUACCUACCACACUAAAAUACACUGGUGUUCAAGUAAACCCAAAUGAUUACUUUAUUAAAAUUUCACAUUUAGACUAUGACAAGUCAUUCACAACAAACAGUUCAACUGUGCUUGCAUAAAGAGGUGCACACAGACCCAGACUUUAGAAAGGUGUGAUCCGACAACAAGCCGCAACAGAGGAUGGAGACUUGAUAUGGACAGUUGUUAGGCCUAACGCCUGCAAAGGAACCCCUGUUUGCAAAAAGUGUGAAAAAAGAAGCCCAUGAGAGAUUAUUUAUUAGAACUUAAUGAAAAACUGUUAGAAAAAAGGAAAAAAAAAAUUCCCGUCUGAUGAGAAGGCCAAGUCUGCACAAAGCAGCUACAACAAAACUCUUCCUGCCACUUUAAGCCAAACUUCAGACCCAGUAGACAAAACUGCUGUGGUGGCUCAGCAUCGCCAGCGUUUAAACUGGAGACCUGGAAUCAGGACUGGAAACAUGCAACUGAACCAAACAAUGCAUGGCAGUACCAGUUUGAAAUCAAGCAGAACGUCACCGACGUCCUCUGGAUUUUGAAAUCCGAAAAUGAUACCGAACUCCUCUCCAGAUGCUUUAUCGAAUCUCAGAGGUGUGAUCAAAU